rnacentral:rRNA from 1 species
AGAGUUUGAUCAUGGCUCAGGAUGAACGCCAGCGGCAGGCUUAACACAUGCAAGUCGAACGGUAACAUGAGAGCUUGCUCUUGAUGACGAGUGGCGCACGGGUGCGUAACACGUAUGCAACCUACCCUUUACAGGAGAAUAGCCCCGAGAAAUCGGGAUUAAUACUCCAUAGUAUCAUAAAACCACAUGGUUUAAUGAUUAAAGCUUCGGCGGUAAAGGAUGGGCAUGCGGCCCAUUAGUUAGUUGGUAAGGUAACGGCUUACCAAGACAUCGAUGGGUAGGGGGUCUGAGAGGAUGAUCCCCCACACUGGUACUGAGACACGGACCAGACUCCUACGGGAGGCAGCAGUGAGGAAUAUUGGGCAAUGGAGGCAACUCUGACCCAGCCAUGCCGCGUGCAGGAAGACGGCCCUACGGGUUGUAAACUGCUUUUAUUUGGGAAGAAACCCCCGGACGUGUCCGGGGCUGACGGUACCAAACGAAUAAGCACCGGCUAACUCCGUGCCAGCAGCCGCGGUAAUACGGAGGGUGCAAGCGUUAUCCGGAUUUAUUGGGUUUAAAGGGUCCGUAGGCGGACCAAUAAGUCAGUGGUGAAAUCUUUCGGCUCAACCGGAAAACUGCCAUUGAUACUGUUGGUCUUGAAUAUGUUUGAAGUGGGCGGAAUAUGGCAUGUAGCGGUGAAAUGCAUAGAUAUGCCAUAGAACACCGAUAGCGAAGGCAGCUCACU